GGUCGGGUGGCGCAAUGGUAGCGCGUUACUUUCCGGUGGAGUUUGACAGCAGAUUUCCUCUCUCAUUGGAGAAUAAUUCGGUGGUUAUUCCCAUUCCCAGCUGGUAAAGGUUCUGGGUUCGAGUCCCAGCUCGAUCG